rnacentral:rRNA from 1 species
AGAAUAAUUCACAAUGGACGAAAGUCUGAUGGUGCAACGCUGCGUGGAGGAUGACGGUCUUCGGAUUGUAAACUCCUGUCAUCGGGGGGUAAGACCUGGCUGUGAAUAGCAGACAGGGUUGAUAGUACCCGAAGAGGAAGGGACGGCUAACUUCGUGCCAGCAGCCGCGGUAAUACGAAGGUCCCGAGCGUUGUUCGGAAUCACGGGGCGUAAAGGGGGCGUAGGCGGUUCGGUAAGUCAGGUGUGAAAUCCCGGGGCUCAACCCCGGAACUGCACCCGAUACUGCCGUGACUUGAGUAAUGGAGGGGUAGCUGGAAUUCUCGGUGUAGCAGUGAAAUGCGUGGAUAUCUAGAGGAACACUCGUGGCGAAGGCGAGCUACUGGACAUUUACUGACGCUGAGGCUCGAAGGCCGGGGUAGCG